UGGCGGACGGGUGAGUAAUGUCUGGGAAACUGCCUGAUGAGGGGGAUAACUACUGGAAACGGUAGCUAAUACCGCAUAAUGUCGCAAGACCAAAGAGGGGGACCUUCGGGCCUCUUGCCAUCGGAUGUGCCCAGAUGGGAUUAGCUUGUUGGUGGGGUAACGGCUCACCAAGGCGACGAUCCCUAGCUGGUCUGAGAGGAUGACCAGCCACACUGGAACUGAGACACGGUCCAGACUCCGUACGGGAGGCAGCAUG
rnacentral:rRNA from 1 species